UUAAUUAAAGCCAAAAAGAGGCAUUUUAUUGUUAAUAAAAUCAUUGCUUAUUAAAGCUAAUUAGG
rnacentral:tRNA from 1 species